rnacentral:rRNA from 1 species
AGUGAACGCUGGCGGUAGGCCUAACACAUGCAAGUCGAACGGCAGCACAGUAAGAGCUUGCUCUUACGGGUGGCGAGUGGCGGACGGGUGAGGAAUACAUCGGUAUCUACUUUUUCGUGGGGGAUAACGUAGGGAUACUUACGCUAAUACCGCAUACCACCUACGGGUGAAUUCAGGGGUUCUUCGGACCUUGCGCGAUUGACUGAGCUGAUGUCGGAUUAGCCAGUUGGGGGGGUAAAGGCUCACCAAGGCGACGAUCCGUAGCUGGUCUGAGAGGAGGAUCGGCCACACUGGAACUAAGACACGGUCCAGACUCCUACGGGAGGCAGCGGAGGGAAAUAUUGGACAAUGGGCGCAAGCCGAAUCCAGCCAUACCGCGUAGGGGAGGAGGGCCUUCGAGUUGAAAAGCCCUUUUGUUGGGAAAGAAAAGCAGCAGGUUAAAACCCCGCUGCUCUGACGGUACCCAAAGAAUAAGCACCGGCUAACUUCGUG